CCUACGCCUACUCUCUCUCUCAAACUGUCCUGUUCUUUGUUCUCAGCUCGCCGCCGCCGCUUUUUCCCCACCCCCUGCUUUCCGAUGCCCACGGCUGCGCCGGCGUAGAACACGAUGGAGCCCGGCGUACAAGCCUGCAUGGUGGCUAGCCGCGCGGCCAGAAUAACGUGCAGCGGCGGCGUCGAUUUUGUGCCCGUCAGUCGGCGGCGUCACCUUCUGACAUGGCGCCAUAGGCUUCAGCUGGCCGCCACUGCUGGAAAAGUACGUAGUACGAGGAGGAGGGGGAGGAGGGUACGAGUCUCCUGCAACCGACGGAUUUCUCCGUCCCCCGGAACAUUCCCGCAUCGAGGGGAUGGACCCAAGCGGUGGCGAACAACAGAGGGUGCAGCGCAUCCAUGGAUAGGGAUUCUGUCGCCGCUGCCCCUGCACCAGGCGCCGGCUCCUCCCUCCCCACCGGUGUAGGCCACCUCGUCGGCAGCUCCGUCCUCACCGGCCCAGCCGCCUAGACGAAAUAAGGUGCUUCUGGCCUCCCCUCCUCCUCCUCUCUCUCCCGUCACAUUUUCUAUGCCUUCCAGUACAAUUCCUUUUCCUAUUCAUGCAUAAAUUAUAUUGUUCUUAAUUUCAGUUAUUUGGUUGCAUAGCUCAUUGUUUUUACUUGUUGACAGUGCGAUUGGUCGGCUAGCUAUGGAUUGUUCGUGGGUUCCUGAUUGCUCUGGUUUUAUCCCCAAAACGGUGGUGCUCUUUUAUUUUGAUUUCCGAAUCUGUGUCUCAUGCAAACAUGAGUUUUGCAUGUACAGGGAAGAAGUUGAGAGAAGACUUCUUAAAUAUUGGUGAAGAACAAGGUGAUCUUUUCUUCUUCUGGUAUGUUCUUGCCAUCCAGAUUCUGGUCUUGUUGUUUGGUCGAGUCAUGAGGAGUGUACACGUAGGAAAUAUGAGAAGAGGAAGAAGCAACAAUAGAAAAUUUAGUAAGAAGAAGCUGAAGGUUUCAUAUUAGCCUCUUGCUUUGCAUAAUAAACCAUGGUAAGUUCCUUUUGUAGAUCAUGUUGUAGUUUACCCAUUACCCAAAAGAAUGUGACAUCAACUGCACAAUUCUGCCAUUCAUAUUUAAUCUUCAGUAGAGUAUCAACCAUCCAAGAUGCAUUUUAUGGACUUAGGUUGAACAUUUUUUUGGUUACUGAAUCUGCAGUUUGAUGUUAAAUAAAUUGUUUUUUGGGUUGCUGAAAUGAAUCAUUGUUGCCCUGUUGAACUGAACCGUGUGCUUCUUCUCUAAAGAAAUUUGUGCUGUGAAUAGUUGCUUGCUCAUGUAUACAAGUGGCAACCGGAUGGAUACACUGAGGAGUCGGAAGGGGCCAUCGGAGCGAGCAGAAACAUGAGCCACAAGGGCCUUCCAAGGGCACCAUCGGUGGGAGUGGCGUGACCUGCCGGAGGAGCGGCUGAACAUAGGCUGAGGAGGUCGUCGAGGCCCUGUUGCAGUGCACACCACCCGAGAUCUCCUUGGAGGUGCAGCUGGCGUGGGUCUCCUCCCUUUCCUCUCCAUGAUAGAAUGGCUAAUUUUGCCAGGAACUUCCAAUCUUCAGAUAAGCUAGACAGUGAGAAGAAAUACGGGGGCACAUUGGUUGCUUCUCCAGCAAAAGAAAAUUCACCCAAGACCAUAAAGCAUAUCGUGCCAAAACAAUCGAUAUUGAACAUGGAGUGAACGAGUUAGGCAGCAUCGUUUUUGGUAAAGGACAUUGCUCUCGAGCCGGGAGGAUUUUCAAAGCUAGAUGUCCCUUUAUAUGGAAUUCUUUAAAGCAUUGCAAGUUCUUUGAAAUCCUCCUUGUAUAUGGAUUCAGCGACAGGCACCCCUCAAAUUUGUCAUGCAAGGGAUUCAGGUAAUUUAUUCCUUAGCUCUUCAGAGGCUUGGAUGUCGUUAGGUGUACAAGCUUCUUGUUUUUGUUACAAAAUGAGAUUGCUUUUGCAAAUUGUGGGCUACCUGAAUAUUGUGUUAGUUACUCUAUGUGUGUGAAGAUAAAUGAAGAAAUACUUCUCCUAUUUUUAUUCGUUUAUCUACAUUACCUCAGUUAAGUUGAUGAUAGGACUAUUAUACUCCAGUAUGGAACUAUAUUUGCAAGCUGAAACCAUGACUAGCUUGAUGAUUGUGGCUAAUAUAGCUUAAGCUGCCUUCAUAUUCAGCUUGUAAUGUUUUAGUCCAUCCAAUUUAACACUUUUUUUUUCCUGUAACUAGCUGAAUGCCCAUGUGCAGCUAUGGUUAGAAAAAAUCCAAUCUGGUGGAAACGCCACAAAAGCCCAAUGAUAUGAAUAGCUUGCAAAUUGAAGAACUGUAUACACAAUCAUAUUUAUUACAUAUUAAACCCCCAAAACAAGAUAGUAGAUAUCACAGAGAGAUGGUCCUACUUAUCAGAAAGUUACUUUAGGUGGAGGGGAGGUGAAAUAGCACACGUAGCAUCCAGCUCCUAUAUUCAAAGGAGUACAACUAUAAUGUUCUUAUGUGCCGAAUUUUGGGUCCAACAUAGAGCUAUAACCAUGCUAGGUUCAGGCUAAGUCAACCUUCAGCGGAAAUUACAGACUUAUUUUCUUUGAGUUGGCAAUAGAGUUUGUUUGCAUAGUUUCUGAUUGGCCCUAUGCUGCAGACUUCACUUUUUGAACUUUGUGCUGAACUAAAAUUCAGAGAGAGAUGAGACUACAAAUGUAUGUAUACAGUUUCCCUUUCCAACAUAUUUUAGCACUAACUAUGACAAUGUAUACUUACCUUGUUCACCAUUACAAUCAAUUGAAGCGUCGAUAUUUCAACAAUAUAUCAAACAAAUUAGUGUAUCUCGUUUAUACCUGUCUGCUUGCAGUUUCAGUAGUAGUUUUGUUAACAGUUUUGCCAUCCUGUACUCCUUGAUGGAAAAAAUCAGUACUGCUGCCCUGAAAGAUUUGACCGAUUUUGUUGACUUUGUUGCCAUGAACUCAAUUAAGCGCUGCUUGCCUCCAGCUACUUUGGUUGGGUGUGACCUGGCCGUUCUGGCUCCAGCGUGGUGCUCCCAUAAUCUAGGUCCCGCCUGCUAGUGUCUUGGGCUAUCUAAUCUGCGGGUGAGAAAAGUGUCGGCAUCCGGCAGUCGGCUUCCUUUUGGUCCCGCAGG